CAACAUUCAUCUCCUUAAUAAAUUUUAUGUAACUGAAAAGAAACGUUCCUCACCAAAACCUACCGCUUCUUCUCCUCUUCUUUCCCUUUUCCAUUUCCCUGUUCCAUCGAAUUGUCUUUUUCCUGUUCCCAUAUUCUGAUUAUGUUUGCACACUUGAUUAUUUGGAUUUAGGGUAUAACGUGGCCUUUCCCUGUAAACUUUUCCUUUGGGGGAUUUCUUUAUUUCCAGGUUCUUUUUUCCCCUUUGGGUUCUAACUAUUGCUCUGUACCAUCAAGUAUCCAUCUCUCCUCAACAAUUAUGAGCAAAGCUAAUCUCACACAUUUGUGAUUUUUGAUCUCAACUUAUAUUUUUAGAUUUGUUAAAUUAUUCUGCUGAAAUGCUUCACUUAUUUGUUGUUAUUGGGUUGAAUAAUUCGGUAUUUCCUUUUGUAUUCUAAUUAUUUAUAGUUUUUUAAUGGAGAUGUGGAGGAGUGCUCUUCUGAGAAUUGGGGUGGACAUAGCGUAACGCUACCAAAAGGACACGUUUCGGGCCUCUUGAGGAGGGUUUCUCUGCCAACUUGGGGUCUAAAACGCCAUCAUGUUUCAAGUGACAAGUGGAUACUUCUUAUCACACUCUAAUACAUGUUGUUGGAUAUACCAUUGUUCUGUUUAUCCACUCCUUUAAUACAUGCCAGAAACCUUUUCAUAUUGAACGUUACUUAGAUUCCACUGGAAAUUUCCACACCUUGAGGGAAUGGGAAACUGAAUUUUGGGAGUACCUUCCGGUUUGAAACCAUUAUUUUAAGCGAACAAACCAGAGUUAUCUGUGAGUCUGAUCCACUAAGCAGAGUCAGAAGGAGGUUUCCCGAAACAAGAAUCCAGCAUGACAAUAUGUGACAAACCUCUUCAGGAGGUCGGCUGUAAUCCAGCGGAUUCCGUCCAGUAAUUAUCUCCAUAAUAAGAUUUUCAAAACUAUAGGCAUUACUUUUUUCACUCAACAUGUUAGUACCAUAUUCUGGGGCAACAUAAUUGAUAGAAAGGGGUAAAUUUGCAAUUUUCUUUCCACGAGCAACUCAAUAUUCUUCCUGAUUGCAAUUUAUCUGUUCAAAUCUAUCUGCUUAGUUGAAUCGUUUUUGCAUUAAACUCCUCUUCCAAGUUCUAACAAUUGCUCUCUACGAUUAAGUCUCGGUUCUCUAAAAAAUUAUGAGCAAAGCUAAUCUUAUACACUUGUGCUUUCUGAUUUCAACGAGUCUUUUUAGAUUUGUUAAAUUAUUUUGGUGAAACGCUUCACUUUUGUGUUAUUAUCUGGUUGAAUAAUUCGCUAUUUCCUUUUGUAUUCUAAUUAUUUAUGGUUUUGUAGUGGAGAUGUGGUCGAGCGCAAAAUAAGGGCCUACAAAGGUCAUUCCUGAAACUUUCGACGGUUCAAUUAUACGUGAGCUUGACUGGAGAGGGCCUACAAAGAUGUGGUCAAGGAUAGAACAAGGGCCUGUAACGGUCACUCUUGAAACUCCAUUGGUUCACUAAACUAUAGGUCUUCAAUGAAAGACGUAAGAACUGUCGGAAAAUGAAAUAUUGAUGUUCAAAUAUUCACAAUCUAUAUUGUUAGCUUCUUUCAGAAAAUUUCUAAAAGUUUUUACUCUAAAGGGCGUGGAUAGUGGGAUCAAUCUCUCAUUCCUACUACUUAUCCUUUUCAAAGUGUGAGGAAGAUAUCAGUGGAGUAGAGCUUAAGAAAGAAUUUAGCAAUUUGAUCCUAAAUGUCUCGAGUAUUAUCUCCAAUUCUCGAUUAUGCAAAAUCCUUUAGCUCUCUGUUAUAUCUUCAUUGUUUUGCACUUUCACCUUUGAUUGUGUUUUUCCGUCUUGUGUUUAGUACUAUAGCUAAUGACACGAAGACGUAGGACUUUGUUUCUUUAAUGUUAAUGUAUCUCCUAUUAAUAAAGUUUAUUCUCAUUAAGUUGAUUAUCAUUUGGAAAAAUCUACUC